rnacentral:rRNA from 1 species
AACGAACGCUGGCGGCAGGCUUAACACAUGCAAGUCGAACGGGUGUAGCAAUACACCAGUGGCAGACGGGUGAGUAACACGUGGGAACCUUCCUAGGGGUACGGAACAACUCAGGGAAACUUGAGCUAAUACCGUAUACGUCCGUAAGGAGAAAGAUUCAUCGCCCCUAGACGGGCCCGCGUCGGAUUAGGUAGUUGGUGGGGUAACGGCCUACCAAGCCUACGAUCCGUAGCUGAUCUGAGAGGANGAUCAGCCACACUGGGACUGAGACACGGCCCAGACUCCUACGGGAGGCAGCAGUGGGGAAUCUUGGACAAUGGGCGCAAGCCUGAUCCAGCCAUGCCGCGUGAGUGAAGAAGGCCUUAGGGUUGUAAAG